UUCUCCAAAAAGAGAGAAACAGAAAGAGAAAGAGAAAGAGAAAAAAGACAACAAUGUGACCCCAAUUUGUGGGAUACAUCUCCUCUCUCUCUCUACGGUCUGGAGCUCUUCCCUUCUUCUUCUCUUCCUCU
rnacentral:ribozyme from 13 species